rnacentral:rRNA from 1 species
GUGAGGAAUAUUGGUCAAUGGACGAGAGUCUGAACCAGCCAAGUCGCGUGAAGGAAGACGGUUCUAUGAAUUGUAAACUUCUUUUGUGCAGGAAUAAAGUGGGUUACGUGUAACCUUUUGUAUGUACUGUACGAAUAAGGAUCGGCUAACUCCGUGCCAGCAGCCGCGGUAAUACGGAGGAUCCGAGCGUUAUCCGGAUUUAUUGGGUUUAAAGGGUGCGUAGGUGGAUUGAUAAGUCAGCGGUGAAAGGUUGCAGCUUAACUGUAAAAUUGCCUUUGAAACUGUCGGUCUUGAGUGCAAAUGAGGUAGGCGGAAUGUGUUGUGUAGCGGUGAAAUGCUUAGAUAUAACACAGAACUCCGAUUGCGAAGGCAGCUUACUGGGAUGCAACUGACACUGAUGCACGAAAGCGUGGGUAUCAAACAGGAUUAGAAACCCUAGUAGUCC